GUGCUGGCUUAGGCAGCACAUGUACUAAAAUUGGAAUGAUACAGAGAAGAUUAGCAUGGCCCCUGAGCAAGGAUGCUAUACAAAUUCCUGAAACAUUCCAUAUUAAA
rnacentral:snRNA from 1 species